rnacentral:rRNA from 1 species
CGAGAAAUAACGAGACCGUUCUCUACGAGGCCGGUCAUCGGAAUGGGUACAAUUUAAACCCUUUAACGAGUAUCUAUGAGAGGGCAAGUCUGGUGCCAGCAGCCGCGGUAAUUCCAGCUCUCAAAAUGCAUAGAAUUAUUGCUGCGGUUAAAAAGCUCGUAGUUGGAUCUGUGCCGGUGGACCCGGUCCACUCGAAAGGGUGCGCACUGGGCUCCCCGGCUUUCUGCCGGUUUUCCCGUCGUGGCCUUAACUGGUUGCGGCGGGUGGCUGGCGAUUUUACUUUGAACAAAUCAGAGUGCUUAAAACAGGCGUUUCGCUUGAAUGUUCGUGCAUGGAAUAAUAGAAAAGGAUUUCGGUUCUAUUUUAUUGGUUUUAUAGACUGAGAUAAUGGUUAACAGAGACAAACGGGGGCAUUCGUAUUGCUGCGUGAGAGGUGAAAUUCUUGGACCGCAGCAAGACGAACUACAGCGAAAGCAUUUGCCAAGAAUGUCUUCAUUAAUCAAGAACGAAAGUCAGAGGUUCGAAGGCGAUCAGAUACCGCCCUAGUUCUGACCGUAAACGAUGCCAACUAGCGAUCCGCCGGCGGAUGCAUUGCCCUGGUGGGGAGCUUCCCGGAAACGAAAGUCUUCCGGUUCCGGGGGAAGUAUGGUUGCAAAGCUGAAACUUAAAGGAAUUGACGGAAGGGCACCACCAGGAGUGGAGCCUGCGGCUUAAUUUGACUCAACACGGGAAAACUCACCCGGCCCGGACACCGUAAGGAUUGACAGAUUGAUAGCUUUUUCAUGAUUCGGUGGAUGGUGGUGCAUGGCCGUUCUUAGUUCGUGGAGCGAUUUGUCUGGUUUAUUCCGAUAACGAGCGAGACUCUAGCCUACUAAAUAGUCUGCACAUUGCUUUGUGUCGCAGUACUUCUUAGAGGGAUUUUCGGUGUACAGCCGCACGAAAUUGAGCAAUAACAGGUCUGUGAUGCCCUUAGAUGUCCGGGGCUGCACGCGCGCUACACUGGCAAAAUCAGCGUGCUUGUCCUUUCC